UGCCCAACAACUUCUAUCCCUACCUCCUCGUGGUACCGACCGGAAACUAUGAGCAACCUUAGGGAAGAUCGGGUAACCAACUCCGGUGGGAACUUUGGUCGUAGGUUGACAGGGAAGG
rfam:Aedes albopictus isolate Foshan contig95216, whole genome shotgun sequence.